UACGUAGGGUGCGAGCGUUGUCCGGAAUUAUUGGGCGUAAAGAGCUUGUAGGCGGUCUGUCGCGUCUGCUGUGAAAAUCCGGGGCUCAACCCCGGACUUGCAGUGGGUACGGGCAGACUAGAGUGUGGUAGGGGAGACUGGAAUUCCUGGUGUAGCGGUGAAAUGCGCAGAUAUCAGGAGGAACACCGAUGGCGAAGGCAGGUCUCUGGGCCACUACUGACACUGAGGAGCGAAAGCGUGGGUAGCAAACAGG
rnacentral:rRNA from 1 species